AUGAGGGAGAUCUACCGACUCCACGGGCUACCGUUAGCCAUCAUCUCUGACAGAGAUCACAUAUUCACAAGCAAUAUAUGGCAGGAACUCUUCAAGCUCUGUCGGACUGAGCUGAAACUCAGUUCAGCUUACCACCCGCAAACAGAUGGACAAACCGAAAGAGUGAAUCAAUGUCUCGAAGCUUAUUUGUGGUGUGCUGUGCAUUCAUGUCCUGGGAAUUGGUCCAAGUGGUUAGCUCUUGCGGAGUAUUGGAAUAACACCUCGUUUCACUCAUCGUUGGGCAGGACUCCGUUUGAGGUGAUCUAUGGACACCUGCCGCGGGAGUUUGGAGUCACUCAAGUGGAUACAUGCACGGUCCCAGAUCUGGCAGCCUGGCUUCAAGAAAGGCAGGUGAUGAUGGAACUUCUUCAGCAGCAGCUCAAGAGAGCCCAGGACAGAAUGAAGCUACAAGCUGAUCGGAAACGCACAAGGGAGUUUGCGGUGGGAGAUGCUGUGCUCCUCAAGUUCCAACCAUUCAUCCAAACAUCAGUAGCGCAACGACCGCAUCAAAAGUUGGCAUUCCGAUACUAUGGUCCCUAUCGAGUGCUCGCUCGGGUGGGGGUUGUCGCCUACAAGCUCCAGAUGCCAGCGGGCAGCAAGAUACAUCCGGUGGUUCAUGCGUCACAGCUAAAGAAGGCGGAAGGAGCAACGGUACCUGUCAGUUCUGACCUCCCUCCUUAG
rnacentral:rRNA from 1 species